ensembl:lncRNA
ACUCACCUGGUGCUGUUACUCUUUCCUUUUCACACACCUCCACAGCAGCUAACUCCAGAAACAAUUUUCUUUUUUCAGUCUGCUCCACAGGGUACCCUCUUCCCCUCAUCAUUUCUCGUUUCUCACCUUGAAAAUCUCUCCUUUCUUUCUUAAUGGGUUCCUGAGACCUGAAAAUAGAGGGGGUGUCUCUGAGGUCACCCCAGACUCAGUUGCCCAGCCCUAGAGGAUGAGAAACAGCAACCACACUCAGGCAGGUGACUCCUACCCACCUGGAGGGGGGCGUGGGCGUGGAGUCAAUGGAAGUCACCAGGUUCGGCCUGGCCUCUUCAACCUGGAAUGACCUUCCUGACCCCUGUGUGGAAUCUCUGCCCUGGGACUGUCCCACGCCCCAGUCCUGGGGUGGCAAUAGGUAGCUGAAGUCACAGAGUCUGGGCUGAAAAGGGUGCCGUUUCCUCUCUGCUAAUACCUACAAUCGUCACCUCCUUCCAGGUGCUCAUGGCGCCCUUUGCCUCCAUCCCAGAAGCGAGGCCUUUUGAAGACUUCACCUUUUCCAUUAGGAAGUGUUUUGAACUUUUCAAAGUUAGCUGCAAACGUAUUAGUGUGUAUUAACAUCCCACUUCCCUGGCACUCAUCUAGGUUACCACUUAAACAACAGGCUCCAAUUCUCUGUUAAAAAAAAAAAAAAAAAGAUCUGCCAAAAUCUCGUUUCAGAAAGAGGACACGGGAGACACAGAACAUGGAGCCCAUCUCCCGACGAGAGCCAUCUGUUCUCAUUAGAGAGAUCUCACAGCCUCAGCUUGGGAGGGAGGGGCCUCCAGGUGCUGCGAAGGAAGCCUGCCUGCCAGUGAUCCUUUCGGAGACUUUGCUUUUUUUGUUUUGUUUAGUUUUGCUUUUGUCUGGCAGGCUCAAAGAGAGACUGUCCUACUUUCCAAGAGAACGAUGGCUCCAACAUUUUAAGAAAUUAAGUCCCUGGGGAAAAAAAUCUAGUCUGAGAGGGCUUGUAAUGGCUCCUUGACAGCAUGCUGUGCUGUCCAAUUUAUAAGGGAGAAAUAUCACAGAAGUUGGGAGCCAAAGUCGGUGUGCACAGCCAUUGCUUAAAAAGCGACGGAUGCUUCCCGGGGACUGUGAACCUCCCCCCCCCGCCCUCAGGCCCCCCAGCAUUUAUUCAAUCUGGAGAGAAUCUGUCUGCCAGGCUCCCACUCCUACAUUCCAGGAAGAGCCAGGCCGGUUCAUUGUCCCCUGUGUUUGGAAAGUGAUAAUAAUUCCUCUGAGACCUAACGGGGCUUGAGGCUCAGGAGGAUGUGAUCAGAGUCCUUCUGGUGAUGGGAACUGCCUGUGGCAGGGGGUUUAUACAUUUUGCAGGUGUCUUUCUAUUGCAAGCCUGUGGGGAUGCCCACUGAGUCAAAAAUAUAUUACCAUGAAAAUAUUCCUUUUGGGGGUAUCC